AUGGGUGAUCGUGCGUGGAUGUACACUGGCCACCCUAGUCCGGACGGCAUGACCGUUGAAUGGGUGAUGAAGACCAAUGAAUUUGUGGAGGCAGCAUUUGCUAGUGGCAAGAGAAAAAGUUGGUGCCCCUGCUUGAAGUGCAAGAACGAUAUAGAACAGUCGAAGAAGAUGAUGGGUAAACACCUACAGAAGCACGGGCUUAAGACUGGGUAUACUCAGUGGACCUUUCAUGGCGAGCCUGAAUGUAGCAGAGAGGAGGUGGUUCGUCGGCGCACCGAUGACAAUGGUACCGGGAUCGCUGACAUGGUAGCUGACUUCAACGAUGCACGUGAAGAGGGAUCAGAGGAAGAACCGGAGGAGUCCGCGAGGGCUUACCUAGAAAUGCUGAAUUCGUCACAACAACCUCUUCACGAGUACACGAUACAGUGUUAG
rnacentral:rRNA from 1 species